UACGGAGGGGGUUAGCGUUGUUCGGAAUGACUGGGCGUAAAGCGCGCGUAGGCGGAUCAGGAAGUUGGGGGUGAAAUCCCGGGGCUCAACCCCGGAAUGGCCUUCAAAACUCCUGGUCUUGAGUUCGAGAGAGGUGAGUGGAAUUCCGAGUGUAGAGGUGAAAUUCGUAGAUAUUCGAAGGAACACCAGUGGCGAAGGCGGCUCACUGGCUCGACACCGACGCUGAGGUGCGAAAGCGUGGGGAGCAAACAGG
rnacentral:rRNA from 1 species